AUAAGUUAAUUUUUAACAUCUUACUAUUAUACAAGAUUAACAAAGGAAGGAGUAUAGAGAUCCAUUUCUGUUCUAUUGACCAAUCGUGUAAUUGGUACUUUCGUAGAGAAUGCCCAAACCAGCACUAAAAAUUGAUAACAUUCAUAUAUGGCAUAAUGUUUCCUUUCAAGUAAUAUGCGAAUAUAUAUUACACAAAAUUGUUCUUUACCAUAACUCCAAAUGCAAUUAACAAAAAGAUAAAUCGAAACCAAAUCUCGAACUCCGUAAACGCUGGAUUGUAAUUCUUGAACUAUGAACAGUGCUUACUGACGUAGAAUGUGAGAUCGCGUAUGUUAUAGCGUUGGUGGAAGCUCUCGAGCCCAUGAAAGUGAACAGUAAUAAUGUAAUAACUGUAAUCGAGAAAUCCUAGAUGAG